UCCCAAUGCAGUAAUUAACAACACUUUCAAAACUGGCAUUAAUGCAACAAAGAAAAGCUUCCAAAACUCCAUUUUUGUGUCUUCUUUUCUUUCCACUUCUUUAACUAUUAUAAAUCAAAGUGGUAAUUAACUUUGAAAUUUGAAACAAUUUUCAAAUAAUUAACAACACUUUCAAAAUUGGCAUUAAUGCAAUAAAGAAAAGCUUCUAAAACUCCAUUUUUGUGUCUUCUUUUCUUUCCUCUUCUUUAACUAUUAUAAAUUAAGUGGUAAUUAACUUUGAAAUUUGAAACAAGUUUUAAAUAAUUAACAACACUUUCAAAACUAGCAUUAAUGCAAUAAAGAAAAGCUUCCAAAACUUCAUUUUUUUGUCUUCUUUUCAUUCCUCUUCUUUAACUAUUAUAAAUCAAGUGAUAAUUAACUUUGAAAUUUGAAACAAAUUUCAAAUAAUUAACAUCAAAAUCAUUCAUUACAAAAAAUAGCUUCAUCUUCUUUCUAAUGCUUUGUAUGUACAAAUACAAUAUACUAACUAAGCUUAUUAUCAUCGUCUUUAUACUUUCUUAAAUCAUUUGUAUAUUAUAAGUUCUUAACUGAUUAUCUGUUAUCAAAUGUUGAAAAUCUAAAUAUAAAUUUAAUUCUCACAUCACAUUACAUAUAACAACUAAUUUGUAUAUCAAUUAUAGAAUGUUAAAUAUUUGAGAAUUUAAAUAAGAAUUUAAUAAAAUGUUGAACAACGUAUAAGGCAAAACAAAUUGAUAAACUCAUUAUUAUCAAGUCUUGGUUGGAUUCCAUGUGAAUCUCUUACAUUUAAUAAAAUGUUGAACAACGUAUAAGGCAAAACAAAUUGAUAAACUCAUUAUUAUCAAGUCUUGGUUGGAUUCCAUGUGAAUCUCUUACAUGACUUAGACUCAUAUAUAAUUUUUUAUAGUAAUUAUUUAUAUCGAUUAUAAUAUACUAUGUAUAAAAAAUGAUGUAGUGACAUAAUUAUAAAUAAGAUAAUAUUUUUUUAUACUAGUUGUAGUUAUAAUAUGUAGCAAAGAUAUUUUUACAAUAAAGAAAAAAAAAUUAUACCCAUUCUAAUUAUAAUUUGUAUAGAAAAUAAAUAUAAUGACAUUUUGAUAAUAAAUAAGAAAACUUUUUAUAUCAAUUUUAAUUAUAGCUGAUAUAAAAAAUAGACGUGAUGACAUUUUUGUAUUAAAUAAAAAAACGUUCUAUAUUGAUUCUAAUCAUCAUUGAUAUAAAAAGCUUUUUUAACUAAUAUAAAGAACAACUUUUCUACAUGAUAAAUCUCCUAAAAAAAUUCAUGAUAAAAACACUUGCAUGACUAAGAAGUAUGAAAAAAGAAUCUUGAAUGAGAAAAUCUUGAUUACCUGAGGCUCCGAAUUUGGCACACUAGAAUGUUGUGAUGAGGAAUUUUAAAAGCACUUUUUUAGUGGGAGAUUAAGUACUUAUAGUGUAAAUAUGAACAUUGCGCACUAUCCCAAAAAAGUAGAAGCCAAA
rnacentral:lncRNA from 1 species